rnacentral:tRNA from 1 species
CACUAGGAAGCUAAUUAUUGGUUUAAGCGUUGGCCUUUUAAGCCAAAGUUUGGUGCCUACCGACCACCUCUAGUGA